CCUACGGGUGGCAGCAGUGAGGAAUAUUGGUCAAUGGGCGCGAGCCUGAACCAGCCAAGUCGCGUGAGGGAAGACGGUCCUAUGGAUUGUAAACCUCUUUUGUCGGGGAGCAAAAGACGCCACGCGUGGCGUUCCGAGAGUACCCGACGAACAAGCAUCGGCUAACUCCGUGCCAGCAGCCGCGGUAAUACGGGGGAUGCGAGCGUUAUUCGGUUUUAUUGGGUUUAAAGGGUGCGCAGGCGGAAGAUCAAGUCAGCGGUAAAAUUGAGAGGCUCAACCUCUUCGAGCCGUUGAAACUGGUGUUCUUGAGUGAGCGAGAAGUAUGCGGAAUGCGUGGUGUAGCGGUGAAAUGCAUAGAUAUCACGCAGAACUCCGAUUGCGAAGGCAGCAUACCGGAGCUCAACUGACGCUCAUGCACGAAAGUGUGGGUAUCGAACAGGAUUAGAUACCCUGGUAGUC
rnacentral:rRNA from 1 species